GGGUCAGUAGGGUGGUCGUGCCACCGGUACGUACUGGUCUCACUGAUUCCUCCAUCCUGUAGAACCGUAAUGCCAUUAAUUUGGUGUUGCGGGGAAACAGGACUGUUACUUUGAAAAAAUUAGAGUGUUUAAAGCAAGCUAACGCUUGAAUACAUUAGCAUGGAAUAAUGAAAUAGGACGAUCGAUCCUAUUUUGUUGGUUUCUAGGAUUGACGUA
rnacentral:rRNA from 1 species